CGCCUCUUGAAAAACCCAUAAGAGGUCCAGCCUGCCCAGUGACUCUGUUCAACGGCCGCGGUAUCCUAACCGUGCGAAGGUAGCGUAAUCACUUGUUCUUUAAAUGAGGACUAGUAUGAAUGGCACCACGAAGGUUAUACUGUCUCCUUCCUCUAAUCAGUGAAACUAAUCUCCCCGUGAAGAAGCGGGGAUAAACCUAUAAGACGAGAAGACCCUAUGGAGCUUUAAACACAGUAAUAAAUGCCCCCCCCCCUUUUUUCUAUCCAAAUCUCCGGAAAACUACUUUAUCUGAGCAUCCUAAUUACAAGUUUUAGGUUGGGGUGACCGCGGAGUAAAAAAUAACCUCCACAGUGAAUGGGAUCUCUCCCUAAACUCAGGGCCACAGCCCUAAAAAUCAAUAAAUUGACACCCAUUGACCCAAUAUUUUUGAUCAAUGAACCAAGUUACCCUAGGGAUAACAGCGCAAUCCACUUCAAGAGCUCCUAUCGACAAGUGGGUUUACGACCUCGAUGUUGGAUCAGGGUACCCCAGUGGUGCAGCCGCUGCUAAAGGUUCGUUUGUUCAACGAUUAAAACCCUA
rnacentral:rRNA from 1 species